rnacentral:rRNA from 1 species
UACGGAGGAUGCGAGCGUUAUCCGGAUUUAUUGGGCGUAAAGCGUGCGCAGGCGGACUGUCAAGUCAGCUGUGAAAGCUUACGGCUCAACCGUGGAAUUGCAGUUGAUACUGUUGGACUAGAGUAUACAUGAGGUGGGCGGAAUUUCUGGUGUAGCGGUGAAAUGCGUAGAUAUCGGAAAGAACUCCAAUGGCGAAGGCAGCUCACUGGGGUAUAACUGACACUGAUGGACGAAAGUGUGGGUAUCAAACAGG